AUCAGGAAAAUAUUUAGAAAAACUGACCAAUACAAUUAAGCUUCAAUAAAAGGCUUUAUCUAACAUUUAGAGAAUUCAGAAACCAAUAUUUCAAACUUUACGUUCCUCUUAAAAACAGGAAAUGUUUAUGUACCAGGCUCCUCAGAAAGACUAAAGCAUUCCAAAAGUGUCCUCUGGUCAUAUAAGUUGCAUCAGAACACUUUUUGGAGAGAACAUUGCCUAAUAUGUGGGAGGCAAAGUGUGAGCCAUGAGCUUCAUAGAAACAAGUCUGAGCUGGGAUACUACACAUGGUGACCACAUGUGGGUGAUUCAUCCGUACUUGUAUCUGACUUCUUAUCAAUGUGACUAAUUUACCAUAACACAGAAAAGCACUUUUCCUCAAGCAAGUUAAUCAAUGAUAAUAGAGUUAUACAUGAGAAUAACAACAGUAACAGUGGAAUACAACUUGACAAAAAGGUACAGGACCCAUAAGAAGGAAAUCCUGCAGCUGCUUGCAGGGACACAAUAGAGCAAUGGGGAACACAGGUGAGACCAGGCCUUGGUCCCUUCUCUGUGUGUCUCCUGUGGGAGCCUGAGCUGAGCCCACACCCUGAAAACACAGAACUGAGGGAGCAGAUGGAAGAAAGAAUAUCAGAAGUUUGGAGGAUGAGAACAACCCAAAGAAGAGCAAGGUACUCGUGGAGCAGGUGGCUGACAAAGGAGCUGGAUGACCUGUCCUGGCCCAAUGACCCUGGAACCUCAGCCAGACUGCAGCCUCUCAGAGUACAGCCAACACUUGGGCUCCAUGCUGGCUCCAAGCCCUCAACACUGCCAAGGUCUCCAGAGGAAACUGCUGAUGUGUCAGCAGCUAUUAUGUCCUGACCAGCUGGAGAAAUAAAGCGGCAAG